rnacentral:lncRNA from 1 species
AGUUGAAGGGGGUUUUUAAAAAAGGUAGUAAUGAACAAAUGAACAGUGUGAUAACUACAAGCAACAGAUUUGUUUAUUUAGAUUCACAUGAGUAUGGAAAACUGUUUCAAGAUAUACCUAAGUAUUUUUACUUGAAUAUUGCUUUAAAGAGAAAAACAGAGUUACUAAAAAAUGAGUUGAAUGGUGGGAAUUUCCAUUUGGGGGAGGAUGACAUGGGUGAAGAUGUAAGUGUUGGUACAGGAACAGGAACAGCAGCAGGAACAGCAGCAGGAACAGCAGCAGGAACAGGAGCAGCAGCAGCAGCAGGAACAGCAGGAACAGGAGCAGCAGCAGCAGCAGCAGGAACAGUAACAGCAACAGUAAUAGGCACAGAUACAGACACUGUAACAAGCACAGCAACAAGCACAGCAACAAGCAUAGCAACAAGCAUAGCAACAAGGGUAAUAGAUACUGGCAUAUACCCCGAACAAAAGUUCCAACAAAUAAUUGAUUCUUGCGUAUUGCAACUUUUAAUAUAUGCUUCAUUUUUAAUCCAAAAUAAAUUAGAUAAUAAUAUAUAUUUAAAAACGUAUCAUACUUCGAUUAGAAUAAAAAAUAAUAGUUGUAUGUAUUGGGGUGUGAGUCCUAAUAGUAAAAUAAUUAUAGAAAUUGUUCAUAACAAUAAUGUAUAUGUGUCUAAGAAAAUACGUAUCAAUCAAGUUUGUAUAAAUAAAAAAAUAAUAUUAAUGAAUAAAAAUAAAAAAAAGUAUAUAUUUUUAUCCAUGAGUAUAACAUUAAAUCCGAAUGUAUAUAACACAAAAAUAAUUACCAUUACGAAUAGAUAUACAAUUGUUAACAACACAAACUGUACAUUAUAUGUACAGGAAGUAAAAAAAGAGUUUAAUAUUAUAACAAAGGAAAAAAGCAAAAAAAUAGGUGAAUAUACUAGCGUAGAUAACAGAUAUGAUAGUGAAUAUGAUAAUAAGCACAAUAAAACUGUUAACUUAAAAAAUAAAUCUAAAAAAAAUAAUGUCCUGCUUAAACAGAGGGUUAGUAGUGUAGAGCAAGUGAUGUUGGGCAGUAGUGAUUAUCAGGAGGAGGAGGAUGAAGAGAAGGAAGAGAAAGAGAAGGAAGAGGAAGAGAAGGAAGAGGAAGAGGAGAAAGAGAAUGUAGCUAAUGGUGUGUGUUUGAUUAACCAGGGGACUCGCUUAACUAACAAAUCAAAUCGUUUAGUCAAGGACAAAAAACAUACUAAAAAUUUCAACAUAGUAAAAAUAAAACCAUUCGGUAUAUACCAUUAUCAUCCUAUAAAUGUACAUAAAUGCUAUUUAAAAUUUUCAUAUGUUAAUAUAAACGCUUGUAGCACCGAAGAAUCGUUUACAAAAAGG